GACGAACGCUGGCGGCGUGCUUAACACAUGCAAGUCGAACGGAAAGGCCCUGCUUUUGUGGGGUGCUCGAGUGGCGAACGGGUGAGUAACACGUGAGUAACCUGCCCUUGACUUUGGGAUAACUUCAAGAAACUGGGGCUAAUACCGGAUAGGAGCUCCUGCUGCAUGGUGGGUGUUGGAAAGUUUCGGCGGUUGGGGAUGGACUCGCGGCUUAUCAGCUUGUUGGUGGGGUAGUGGCUUACCAAGGCUUUGACGGGUAGCCGGCCUGAGAGGGUGACCGGCCACAUUGGGACUGAGAUACGGCCCAGACUCCUACGGGAGGCAGCAGUGGGGAAUAUUGCACAAUGGGCGGAAGCCUGAUGCAGCAACGCCGCGUGCGGGAUGACGGCCUUCGGGUUGUAAACCGCUUUCGCCUGUGACGAAGCGUGAGUGACGGUAAUGGGUAAAGAAGCACCGGCUAACUACGUG
rnacentral:rRNA from 1 species